rnacentral:rRNA from 1 species
GACGAACGCUGGCGGCGUGCUUAACACAUGCAAGUCGAACGGAAAGGCCCUGCUUUUGUGGGGUGCUCGAGUGGCGAACGGGUGAGUAACACGUGAGUAACCUGCCCUUGACUUUGGGAUAACUUCAGGAAACUGGGGCUAAUACCGGAUAGGAGCUCCUGCUGCAUGGUGGGGGUUGGAAAGUUUCGGUGGUUGGGGAUGGACUCGCGGCUUAUCAGCUUGUUGGUGGGGUAGUGGCUUACCAAGGCUUUGACGGGUAGCCGGCCUGAGAGGGUGACCGGCCACAUUGGGACUGAGAUACGGCCCAGACUCCUACGGGAGGCAGCAGUGGGGAAUAUUGCACAAUGGGCGGAAGCGUGAUGCAGCAACGCCGCGUGCGGGAUGACGGCCUUCGGGUUGUAAACCGCUUUCGCCUGUGACGAAGCGUGAGUGACGGUAAUGGGUAAAGAAGCACCGGCUAACUACGUG